rnacentral:rRNA from 2 species
UUCGGGAGGGCGUUUACCACGGUGUGAUUCAUGACUGGGGUGAAGUCGUAACAAGGUAACCCUAGGGGAACCUGGGGUUGGAUCACCUCCUUACCUUAAUGA